UCAGAAGACCUCCCAAUGCCCAGCUCCCAUAAUCGAUGCAAGGUGAAAACUGACUAAUAUGUCUCAAGCUACAUUUCAAGGAUGAAAGGCAAUGUAUGACAACUGGAAGUAGUUUUACAUCGUGUGAAGGACUCUGUGGCAUUUCAUCCCUGAACUGUCUUAUAAAUGUAUAGAAACUGGGGAGGAUUUGCAUCUGAUGAGGUCUCUAAAGAAAAGGACAUGCAAUUCAGUCAGGCCUCUUGGGACUGGAUCUGCUACAUAACAUCUGGCUUCUUUUUUAUAAUGCAAGAAGAAAUGAAAAUAUGACAGACCUCAGUAGACCUGCUUUUUCCUGUCACAAGUGAUAAGACCAUCAGCAAGAACAAAUCAGUGGAAGAAGAAAUCCAAAUUCUAACAAAAUUUCCUCACUUUCCAUGUAUAAUUUCAGUUCUGGACCCAUAUAAUUAAGCUAUUUCUGACCCACAACAAAGAUAGAAGACAAUGCUGAAGACAUUACUUCUAUUGGGUUGGCUUACCUCCAAAGGCAACAGAAAUGGCUGAAAACAAUAGUGCCUCUAAAAUAAGACCACUAUGAACAAUCACAUUUCCCAGAGAGAUUCCUAAGGCAUCCCAUGGUUGAUUUGUGACUGUUCUUCAAUAUUUAUGGUCUUUUAGCGGGUUUUAGGAACCUAGCAAACUCAACUGGAAUUUGACUCCUGAGGCUCUGCUGUGUGAUUUUCUUCUUUGUCCAUUAAUCUACAUGUAUUUUGUGUUCUCUUUGCCAUUCUGGUAUGUGUGUUGAAAAGUUAACAUUUGUGCCUAGCAUUAUAAAGUUUGUAGCUUAAGGUGCCAUUUUAAUUAUCUUGUUUUUUCAAAGCCUAACCAGUGUUUUAUCAAGAAAACAAAGAGUUUGGAUAGAAUUAAAAGCCUAAAGGACUGGGGCUCUUACUGUUUUGAAGCAGACUAGAAUUAUAUUGUAAUUUAUGCAUCCUCGAGUCCAUUUUGAAAGGAAAUACACAACUUCCUUUGAUUGAUCUCCUGACAGAGUUCAAGGUUGUUGCUGUUCAAACAGCAGUAUGACUGAUCACAUGUGCAGAUUUGCAAUAAUAUAAUAAAAGACUACUAACUCCAUGUUAUAAAAUAAUACCAUAUAUUCUCUCACUGGAACAUAGCUGUUUUCUAAGCAAACUGAUUGAAAACCGCCCCACCAUCACCAAUAAAACAAACAUUUUCUUAAC